rnacentral:rRNA from 1 species
CUCCUUAUAUGUUCUGGGCCGCACGCGCACUACACUGAUCCCGACAACGAGCUCAUGCUUAUGCAUCCUGGAUUGAAAAGUCCGGGUAAUCUUAUGAGCCGGGAUCGUGAUGGGGAUAGAUGAUUGCAAUUAUUCGCCUUGAACGAGGAAUGUCUAGUAGGCGCGUUUCAUCAGAACGCACCGAUUAUGUCCCUGCCAUUUGUACACACCGCCCGUCGCUCCUACCGAUUGAAUGUUCCGGUGAGCUCUUCGGACUGCGCGGUCUGCAGUUUCUGCGUUCCGUGCGGAAAGUUGCGCAAACCUUAACAUUUAGAGGAAGGAGAAGUCGUAACA